GAUGAACGCUGGCGGCGUGCCUAAUACAUGCAAGUCGAGCGAAUGGAUUAAGAGCUUGCUCUUAUGAAGUUAGCGGCGGACGGGUGAGUAACACGUGGGUAACCUGCCCAUAAGACUGGGAUAACUCCGGGAAACCGGGGCUAAUACCGGAUAACAUUUUGAACCGCAUGGUUCGAAAUUGAAAGGCGGCUUCGGCUGUCACUUAUGGAUGGACCCGCGUCGCAUUAGCUAGUUGGUGAGGUAACGGCUCACCAAGGCAACGAUGCGUAGCCGACCUGAGAGGGUGAUCGGCCAGGGUGGGACUGAGGCACGGCCCAGACUCCUACGGGAGGCAGCAGUAGGGAAUCUUCCGCAAUGGACGAAAGUCUGACGGAGCAACGCCGCGUGAGUGAUGAAGGCUUUCGGGUCGUAAAACUCUGUUGUUAGGGAAGAACAAGUGCUAGUUGAAUAAGCUGGCACCUUGACGGUACCCAACCAGAAAGCCACGGCUAACUACGUGCCAGCCGCCGCGGUAA
rnacentral:rRNA from 1 species